rnacentral:rRNA from 1 species
CGUAGGGUGCGAGCGUUAAUCGGAAUUACUGGGCGUAAAGCGUGCGCAGGCGGUUUUGUAAGACAGGCGUGAAAUCCCCGGGCUUAACCUGGGAACUGCGUUUGUGACUGCAAGGCUAGAGUACGGCAGAGGGGGGUGGAAUUCCACGUGUAGCAGUGAAAUGCGUAGAGAUGUGGAGGAACACCAAUGGCGAAGGCAGCCCCCUGGGUCGAUACUGACGCUCAUGCACGAAAGCGUGGGUAGCAAACAGGAUUAGAUACCCUGGUAGUCCACGCCCUAAACGAUGUCAACUAGGUGUUGGGUGGGUAAAACCAUUUAGUACCGUAGCUAACGCGAGAAGUUCGACCGCCUGGGGAGUACGGCCGCAAGGUUA